AUGAACGCUGGCGGCGUGCCUAAUACAUGCAAGUCGAGCGAACAGAUGAGGAGCUUGCUCCUCUGACGUUAGCGGCGGACGGGUGAGUAACACGUGGAUAACCUACCUAUAAGACUGGGAUAACUUCGGGAAACCGGAGCUAAUACCGGAUAAUAUAUUGAACCGCAUGGUUCAAUAGUGAAAGACGGUUUUGCUGUCACUUAUAGAUGGAUCCGCGCCGCAUUAGCUAGUUGGUAAGGUAACGGCUUACCAAGGCAACGAUGCGUAGCCGACCUGAGAGGGUGAUCGGCCACACUGGAACUGAGACACGGUCCAGACUCCUACGGGAGGCAGCAGUAGGGAAUCUUCCGCAAUGGGCGAAAGCCUGACGGAGCAACCCCGCGUGAGUGAUGAAGGUCUUCGGAUCGUAAAACUCUGUUAUUAGGGAAGAACAAAUGUGUAAGUAACUAUGCACGUCUUGACGGUACCUAAUCAGAAAGCCACGGCUAACUACGUG
rnacentral:rRNA from 1 species